GGAUCCAGACUUUGAUUAUGGCUCAGGACGAACGCUGGCGGCGUGCCUAACACAUGCAAGUCGAGCGGAGACAGGGAGUAGCUUGCUACGAGCUGUUUUAGCGGCGGACGGGUGAGUAACGCGUGAGCAACCUUUCCCAGACAGGGGAAUAACACACCGAAAGGUGUACUAAUACCGCAUAAGACCACGGAAUCACAUGGUUCUGGGGUAAAAGAUUUAUCGGUUUGGGGUGGGCUCGCGUCCGAUUAGGUAGUUGGUGAGGUAACGGCCCACCAAGCCGACGAUCGGUAGCCGACCUGAGAGGGUGAUCGGCCACAUUGGGACUGAGACACGGCCCAAACUCCUACGGGAGGCAGCAGUGGGGAAUAUUGGGCAAUGGAGGAAACUCUGACCCAGCAACGCCGCGUGGAGGAAGAAGGUUUUCGGAUUGUAAACUCCUGUCCUUGGAGACGAGUAGAAGACGGUAUCCAAGGAGGAAGCCCCGGCUAACUACGUGCCAGCAGCCGCGGUAAUACGUAGGGGGCAAGCGUUGUCCGGAAUAAUUGGGCGUAAAGGGCGCGUAGGCGGCUCGGUAAGUCUGGAGUGAAAGUCCUGCUUUUAAGGUGGGAAUUGCUUUGGAUACUGUCGGGCUUGAGUGCAGGAGAGGUUAGUGGAAUUCCCAGUGUAGCGGUGAAAUGCGUAGAGAUUGGGAGGAACACCAGUGGCGAAGGCGACUAACUGGACUGUAACUGACGCUGAGGCGCGAAAGUGUGGGGAGCAAACAGGAUUAGAUACCCUGGUAGUCCACACUGUAAACGAUGAAUGCUAGGUGUAGGGGGUAUCGACCCCUUCUGUGCCGCAGUCAACA
rnacentral:rRNA from 1 species